GCUGGGUGCGGUGGUGCACACCUGUAAUUCCAGCAGCUGUGGAGGCAGAGGCAGGAGGAUCACAAGUUCAAAGCCAACCUCAGCAAUGGCAAGGCGCUAAGCAACUCAGUGAGACCCUGAGUCUA
rnacentral:sRNA from 1 species